UACGGAGGGUGCAAGCGUUAUCCGGAUUCACUGGGUUUAAAGGGUGCGUCGGUGGGUUGGUAAGUCAGUGGUGAAAUCCCCGAGCUUAACUUGGGAACUGCCAUUGAUACUAUCAGUCUUGAAUACCGUGGAGGUCAGCGGAAUAUGUCAUGUAGCGGUGAAAUGCUUAGAUAUGACAUAGAACACCAAUUGCGAAGGCAGCUGGCUACUCGGAUAUUGACACUGAGGCACGAAAGCGUGGGGAUCAAACAGG
rnacentral:rRNA from 1 species